GGGUCGCUAGCUCAGGGGGAGAGCACUUCCCUGACACGGAAGGGGUCAUAGGUUCAAAUCCUAUGCGACCCACCA
rnacentral:tRNA from 1 species